rnacentral:lncRNA from 1 species
CGACAGCCUAUAAACGGACGCAAGUUAAUAUCGGUACGGCCGACCAUCGAAUCACCGUCGAAACCAAAAUCUACGGCGCAGGACCAGGUUUAAGAGAAGUAGUCAUCAUCGAACGAAACUCUUCAAAAUUCACAUUGCCAUCACCAUCGGCAUCCACCGGCUUAAUCAUCGCCACACAUCCAUCAACCGAGCACUUAAUUCCGAGCCUGUUCAACACCAAAUUCAACUCCUCCGCCGAAAUCAAGCCGUUCUUGUCCUGAUCGUAGAGAUCAAACGCCUCGCGGAGCUCGGCCUCGCCGGCGGCACCAGAGGAGGUCCGGCAGAUCGUUUCGAACUCCGACAGGCUGAUGAAUCCGUCCUUGUCGGUAUCGAGAUCCUCCAUGACGCGGACGAGCUCCUCCUCUUUGUAGCUCGAUCCCAUUGAUUUCAAAACGGUCGCCAGCUCCGUCAGCGAGAUCUUGCCGUCCUUGUUCGCGUCGAACUGGUUGAAGAUCUUCUGCAUCUCCUCCCGGCUCACUAUUAGCUGUUUCCUAUUCGAAUCUGCCUCCGUUGUUGCUGC